GGGCGGAUGGUUUAGUGGUAUAAUACUCCCUUAGCAUAGUAUUUGGGAGUGGUCCGGGGUUCGAUUCCCUGUCUGUCCA